CACAAAGAGAUUCUUCAGUUGC
rnacentral:piRNA from 1 species